GAAACACGAGCAUUAUUCAUGUAUGGUGGAUGUUCUAGGACGAUGUGGGAAGCUAGAGGAAGCAGAGGAUUUUGUAAGAAACAUGCCCCUUAAAACUAACUCCAUAGUGUGGCUUGCUUUGCUUAGUUCUUGCAGGAUGCAUUCUAACCUAGAUUUGGCAGAAAGAGCUGCAAACUAUAUUCUUGACCUAGAACCACAUUGUAGCGCUGCUUAUGUUUUACUGUCCAACUUCUAUGCUUCUGCUAAUAGAUGGGGUGAUGUCUCACGAUUAAGAGUGACUAUGAGGGAUAAAGGGAUUGUGAAGCAACCAGGUAGAAGUUGGGUUAUCAUAAAGGGGCAAAAGCAUUUAUUUUUUUCUGGGGAUAAAUCCCACCCUUUGAGUGAGAACAUAUAUUGGAAGCUGGAUAGUUUGAAUAUGAAAUUGAAGGAAUUGGGUUAUGUUCCAAAUAAGAGGUUCUCUCUCCAUGACGUGGAAGACGAACAGAAUGAAGAGUCAUUAUUUUACCAUAGUGAAAGGCUUGCUAUUGCAUUUGCAUUGAUUACCACUGUCGAGGGUAGUACAAUAACAGUAAUGAAGAAUCUUUGCAUUUGUGGGGAUUGUCAUUCUGCAAUUAAACUUAUUGCAAAGAUUGUUGAUCAUGAGAUCAUUGUGAGAGAUUCUAGCCACUCUCAUCACUUCAGGAGUGGCAUAUGCUCUUGUGGGGAUUAUUGGUAGCAAGGGCAUGGGGUUAUUUCUCCUGUCAUGAACCUUUAAGCGUCCUGAGUUUGCUCAUUGUGUUAAGCAUUGAUGAGAUGGGACCAGCUACACGAGCACCAUUUAAUGUGGGCUUACUUUUAUUGUUGACGUGAUAGACAAUGAAUUCAUGUGGAAUCCAUGGCUUUGUUUUUUUUUUGGCUUUGGUUUAGUCUAGGAGGCUAAGGGAGUUCAGAUAUUUCUCAGCUGUAUGAGUUGGGUAUAUGGAAAGUUUUGAGACUUGGGAGGAAAUCUAGCUAUGGAUGGCAAUGCCACCAUGUUCUACAUGCAGGGAUUUUUGUUGAAAAGUGAAUUUAUCACUUUGCUUAUGGCUUUGUCCCCACUUCCUUCUGCAGAAUUAAUUUGAGUGAGAAAACUCUGAGCCUGGAAAUAGCUACUUUUUAUCUCUCUCUAGCAGAGAGAGAAAUUGAAAUUGGGGCAUUUGGGAAGAAGGAAGUUCUGCUUGGUAAAAGAAAGGAAACCCACCCAAACAAAAAGAAAUGAUACCUGGCAUGCCUCCUCUUUUCUGAUUUCAAAUUGAGAGUUGGUUUUUUCUUGAAAAGUUCCAUCAACCCUUCCCCUCAACCCCUCUAUUAACAUUCUCAGAGCCUCUCCGCCUCUUCAUUAGGUGUAUGUGAUUUAACAAAACCUUCUUCGUUUCUGGAUGAAAUUCUACUUCACCUGAUAUUCUCUCACAGUUUUGCUGGAUAUCUUCAACAAAUCGAUAGUACCAAGUGAGGUUAGUUUAUUUGUGGUGCCAAAAUUAGUACUCCAAUGUUCUGUCUUGUUCAAGUUGAGCAGAUGUCAGUGAUAGAAACUGGUAGUCAUAAAGGCCCAAUAAAAUCUCAAUGGACCAGCACAUUUGGCUCAGUUAUUGAUGCUUGCUUAUGUAUUGCAAGAGAAGUGGGAACAAUUUCUUUUUAUAGGGAUUAAUCAACUGUUCAUUUUGCAGUUUUCACUAUCCUAAGAGUUCUGCCUCCCUAAGUCUUUUUUUGUUUCCUGUCGAAGAAUUUGUGGAGAACCAAUAAACUACUGGCACUCCCUUGUGGGAUUCCUUUUUGCUAUGUAUGGAAGUUGGAUUUGAGAGUGCAUUUAUAUUAGUAGUCCUGAUGACACAUGCUUGAACUAAGUUUGCUUGUUGGAGGUGUCAGGUUGUGCCACCAAAAGUAACACUUUCCCCAAUUGGAAGUUGCACUUGGCAUUAAAUUUGAAGCUGCAGUGGAUUGAGAGAAAUAAUCUGGUUUUUUGUGGGAGUAUUCAUAUUCUUUUGCCACCUUAAACUUGCAAAUCAUCUCAAAAGAGAUUAAAUAACUGUCUCCUGUCCGCAUAAACUGAUCAGAACUUUUCUUCUUCUGUUUUACUAGGUACCUUAAAUACUACCGGAUACACUCCUAGUCCUUGACUAACUUUUCAUCUUGCUGUUAUGAAUACAAAGCAUUACCUCAUUUUGGUCUUAUUUGAAGAACUAGUUUGUUUCAGGGUUGGAGGUAUAAGCUUUGAAGAACUCUAUUUUGAUAUCUGGUUUGAAAUGUUGUGAUUUUUUACUAUUGGAAACUAGUGGUCAUAUGUAGGUUAAAACACAGUUCUCUCAUUUGUAUGCAUGAGAAUAUGAUUGAUAUCCAAGGUUUCUAGACUUGUUAUCCUUUGGGUUCAUGCCACUUGAUCUGAUACACAAUUAAGAUAUCUUAAUAUUCGUUCCUUCCUAACUUGUAUUAGAUGAUUAUAAGCCAGAAUAUAGGUAUGCCUUUUUGAUAUCUUUCUUAGCACCACAUGAUUCCUUCAAUGAAGUCUUCACAAAAUACUCAUAUAGGUUUGUUUAUCUGUCUUUGCAGUGUCGAGAUGAUAAAAGAGGUUUCACUGAAGAGCAAUUUGGCUAUUUUAAUUCACGGCUUCCUCUGCAAGAAGUAGGAAGAGAAGCAUGUUAGUUUGCAGCUUUCUGAAGUACAAGUGGAUGAUUUUCGUGAGGAGAUGCAACAACCUUGGCUGUGUCUCUGGUUGAUGUUCUCUGCUAUAUGUUUUAUACUGUUAUUCUUUUAUUAUUGUUCUACUAGUUCAUGAAGGUAUAUCUCUCCUGAAUUCACUUUUGCGUAUAUACUUCAGGUAAUUUUCUCUAUAGGUCCAAAUUGCAGUGGCAGUUACCCUUUAGUAAGGGAGGCAUGUACAAGUGCUGCUUGAGCGUUUCGUCGAUUAUCUCUGAUGAGGGUUCUCUUACUCAACGGAAACAACCACUUCCAGUUGGGAAAGCUGCAGGUGAAAGAAUGAUUUAUUAAGGGCGGUAGAGAUUCACGUUUCCGUAGUUGCUUGUAGCACUGGAAGGAACUGGCUUUGCAGAGAGAAGAGAACACAGGAUCUUAGCGAGCACAAGAACAACAGACUUCAACUCUUCAUUGUUCUCAACUUGCUUUUUGUUUCCUUGAAUAUGUAUUCCAAUGGUCGAUAAAUUAAUAGGAUCCAGUUGACGUGGGAAAGUAAAUGUAAGAACAAUUCGGAAGAAAAUAAAAACUUCACUCUGUCAUAACUUUUUAGGGGUAAUAAUAACACUACAAAUACUUGAAAUUUUUGUCUAUUUUAUAAUUGUCUCAACUUUUCUUUCGUGCACCCGGGUACCUAAAAUUUUAAAAUAUAACUUAAUGUGGUCCUUUCGUUAAAUAGUGUGCCACAUCAUGCUUUUUUCUUUUCUUCGCUAACGUGACUGAUUUACUCAACAAAUACGGUGCAUAUUGCCAAUGCCAAAUAGGAGCUAAUCAAUAAAUGGUGUAUACCGUAUGUGACGAAACAAGCCAGAAGGCCCAUGUCAUGAGGGCAUAAGUUGACAUUAACCCCAGUAUGAAAAUGUUAAGUAUUGAUCAGGUGAGGCCUUUUUUAACUUAACCCGCUCCGGGCGUACUAUAUAUGUAUAUAUAUUUUGGGUCAAAUGGGCAUACUAGGUUAAAAGUUCUCUAAUUAUCCAAAAUAAAUUGUGUUAGCUCUGCCACCAAACCGGAAUGUACUUUGUCUAUUGUUGCCACUUUGCUCGUCUCCAAAAUUAUUUCGCAUUUCGACCGCGAAUCAUUAUUCAUUGGUGAAGGCCUUUCGUCUUUGAAGGAGAGAAAUUCUGAACAUCCCCGCUUCUCGCUCUCUCCGGGGUCGGUAGUCAUCAUCAACUGGACUUUUCACAUUCUAGUAAUGGAAGCAAAUUUGGACGUGUCAGUCAAUCUUAGCUCAAAAUGACUCCAAUUAUCAAAACCAGAUUAUAGCAAAAAAAAAAAAAAAAAAAAAAAAAAAAAAACGUUGGAACUCGACUUAGAAUUAUUUACAAGAACUUCAAGGUUGAGAAUUUAAUGAGAACUCAUAAUAUCGUGUCGGAUUAAGUCAAUUUUUGUGGUAACUGAGAGCAAGUGUUCUUCCUAAUCAACUUCAUUUGUAAGCGCUCUAAAUUCUUGUUGUAGUUUAGAGUCUCUAGAUCGAGGUAAGGAGGUCCAUGCUUCAGCUGUAAAGCUGCAAUUGGGAAGUGAUGUAUUUGUUGGUAAUUCUCUUGUAGUCAUGUAUAGUAAGUGUGGGGCUGUUGAUGAUGCUGUUGUAGUGUUCAAAAGACUCAAGGAGAAGAACAUCGUCACCUGAAAUGCCAUUAUUUGCGGGUGUGCACAACAUGGCCGAGGGAUGUGGGCUAUGGAGUUGUUUAGCCAAAUGAUACGCGGACUGGUACAACCAGAUGAGAUCACACUCACGGGACUGCUUUCUUCUUGUACAAAUUCUGGGAUGUUACAAAAGGGGAGAUGCUUGUUCAGAUAUUUUAGUGAGAACACUUCUAUUGAAUUGAAACACGAGCAUUAUUCAUGUAUGGUGGAUGUUCUAGGACGAUGUGGGAAGCUAGAGGAAGCAGAGGAUUUUGUAAGAAACAUGCCCCUUAAAACUAACUCCAUAGUGUGGCUUGCUUUGCUUAGUUCUUGCAGGAUGCAUUCUAACCUAGAUUUGGCAGAAAGAGCUGCAAACUAUAUUCUUGGCCUAGAACCACAUUGUAGUGCUGCUUAUGUUUUACUGUCCAACUUCUAUGCUUCUGCUAAUAGAUGGGGUGAUGUCUCGCGAUUAAGAGUGACUAUGAGGGAUAA
rnacentral:lncRNA from 1 species